GGAAGAGGGUGGAGAGGGGAGAAGGUGGGAAGGGGAGGGAAGGGAAGGGGUAUUGGUAGGUAGAGAAAGACUUGGGUUCAGAAAGGGCGGGAUUUUUGUUGUUUGUUUUGUUUAGCUUUGACAAAGGAAAGGACAGAGCCUAAAUAACUUGGAAGCUAUUCCUGGAGGAGACCUUUGGCUGAGGCAUUCCAGAGGAGUUCCAGGAUGUCUGUCAGAAACUGGGGGAAAGAGGGGAAAUUAAAAGGGGAUGUGGACCUUGGCAUCCCUGUGGAGCUUCAGCAGUAGCCACAGGCAAGAGCUUUCUCAGGCUUCCACUGUCACUGCUGUGCAACCAGUCACCUCAUCUCCUCCCUGCCGGCUCUUCCCAAAGAGGCCUUUUCCAUGACAGACCAAGUGACACACUGAUAAUUCACUGCCACUGUCUCCAGGCACUGCGAGCCAGACUUUUGCAGGCUGUGAGGCUUUGGGACUACACGAUAGCAAAGGACACCAGUCUUAGAGUUCCGGAGAUCUUGCCUCCUAUCCAGACCUUGGGUACAUGUCACAACCAUGCCUCAGUCUUACCUAUGCCUGGAAAUGAUUGUUAACCUUAUCUAGCCAUGGAACAAAUGCAUUCGGACACACAACAUUCUACACUUCCCUUUGCAUAACAGGAAUGCUUUAUAAAGUUAGCUAUGGUCCACAGUCC
rnacentral:lncRNA from 1 species